rnacentral:lncRNA from 10 species
CCCCACCCCACUGACUGGGGGACAGUGCUCCAGGCAGCUGGAAUGGGACACGGUUUGUGUGGCAGCGAGAUAUCCAGGCUCUCCUCCUUCCAGAUCUAAGGAUUCAAACCCAGGUCUGCUUGACUAGGAAGGCCGGCCCUCUCCAUGGUGCCAGGACAACUCUUUGGAGAAGAUGCCCCUCUCUCUGCCUGCCUGAAUCUUCUCCGUCCACAAAGGCCUGCUCCAUCCUCCCUCCUCCAGGAAGCUUUCCCUGACUGUCCCCGGGCCCAGCCAGGGUGUCUGGGGGGCUGGAGAGACCCACAGAGCCCUGAUCACCGUGGCUGGCCCGUAAGUGUGGCGACUGAGUCCCAGUCUGGAGGCACAGCUGGACUUUCCCAGAGAGAACUGAGGCAUUGUGGGAAUUUCCCAGCUGUGACCCCAGGACCCUGAUUGCCCAGAAUGGCUCCAAGU